rnacentral:rRNA from 1 species
GACGAACGCUGGCGGCGUGCUUAACACAUGCAAGUCGAACGGAAAGGCCCUGCUUUUGUGGGGUGCUCGAGUGGCGAACGGGUGAGUAACACGUGAGUAACCUGCCCUUGACUCUGGGAUAACUUCAGGAAACUGGGGCUAAUACCGGAUAGGAGCUCCUGCUGCAUGGUGGGGGUUGGAAAGUUUCGGCGGUUGGGGAUGGACUCGCGGCUUAUCAGCUUGUUGGUGGGGUAGUGGCUUACCAAGGCUUUGACGGGUAGCCGGCCUGAGAGGGUGACCGGCCACAUUGGGACUGAGAUACGGCCCAGACUCCUACGGGAGGCAGCAGUGGGGAAUAUUGCACAAUGGGCGGAAGCCUGAUGCAGCAACGCCGCGUGCGGGAUGACGGCCUUCGGGUUGUAAACCGCUUUCGCCUGUGACGAAGCGUGAGUGACGGUAAUGGGUAAAGAAGCACCGGCUAACUACGUGCCAGCAGCCGCGGUGAUACGUAGGGUGCGAGCGUUGUCCGGAUUUAUUGGGCGUAAAGGGCUCGUAGGUGGUUGAUCGCGUCGGAAGUGUAAUCUUGGGGCUUAACCCUGAGCGUGCUUUCGAUACGGGUUGACUUGAGGAAGGUAGGGGAGAAUGGAAUUCCUGGUGGAGCGGUGGAAUGCGCAGAUAUCAGGAGGAACACCAGUGGCGAAGGCGGUUCUCUGGGCCUUUCCUGACGCUGAGGAGCGAAAGCGUGGGGAGCGAACAGGCUUAGAUACCCUGGUAGUCCACGCUGUAAACGGUGGGUACUAGGUGUGGGGUCCAUUCCACGGGUUCCGUGCCGUAGCUAACGCUUUAAGUACCCCGCCUGGGGAGUACGGCCGCAAGGCUAAAACUCAAAGGAAUUGACGGGGCCCCGCACAAGCGGCGGAGCAUGCGGAUUAAUUCGAUGCAACGCGUAGAACCUUACCUGGGUUUGACAUGGAUCGGGAGUGCUCAGAGAUGGGUGUGCCUCUUUUGGGGUCGGUUCACAGGUGGUGCAUGGCUGUCGUCAGCUCGUGUCGUGAGAUGUUGGGUUAAGUCCCGCAACGAGCGCAACCCUUGUUCACUGUUGCCAGCACGUUAUGGUGGGGACUCAGUGGAGACCGCCGGGGUCAACUCGGAGGAAGGUGGGGAUGACGUCAAGUCAUCAUGCCCCUUAUGUCCAGGGCUUCACGCAUGCUACAAUGGCUGGUACAGAGAGUGGCGAGCCUGUGAGGGUGAGCGAAUCUCGGAAAGCCGGUCUCAGUUCGGAUUGGGGUCUGCAACUCGACCUCAUGAAGUCGGAGUCGCUAGUAAUCGCAGAUCAGCAACGCUGCGGUGAAUACGUUCCCGGG